GACGAACGCUGGCGGCGUGCCUAAUACAUGCAAGUCGAGCGCAGGAAACUGACGGAACUCUUCGGAGGGAAGGCAGUGGAAUGAGCGGCGGACGGGUGAGUAACACGUAAGGAAACUGCCUCAAGGAUUGGGAUAACUCCGAGAAAUCGGAGCUAAUACCGGAUAGUUCAACGGACCGCAUGGUCCGCUGAUGAAAGACGCUCCGGCGUCACCUUGAGAUGGCCUUGCGGUGCAUUAGCUAGUUGGUGGGGUAAUGGCCCACCAAGGCGACGGUGCAUAGCCGACCUGAGAGGGUGAUCGGCCACACUGGGACUGAGACACGGCCCAGACUCCUACGGGAGGAAGCAGUAGGGAAUCUUCCACAAUGGACGAAAGUCUGAUGGAGCAACGCCGCGUGAGUGAUGAAGGUUUUCGGAUCGUAAAACUCUGUUGUAAGGGAAGAACACGUACGAGAGGGAAUGAUCGUACCUUGACGGUACCUUACGAGAAAGCCACGGCUAACUACGUGCCAGCAGCCGCAGUAAAAC
rnacentral:rRNA from 1 species